CAGACUGCUKGUUAAUAAAGCAAGCGAUAGCCUGAGCGUUCGUCGCUGAAGCGCGUGGUGCGAGUGUGACAUUGCACGCGACCACUCGUCUCUUCUGCGGCGUCGCUCGAAAUGAUACGUGGUUUUCGAACGCAGCGACACGUGUAUCGUACAGACAGACGUACGAGUAACGCCCGUCGAGUCCCGGAGCUCUCGCGCUUUCGCAUUUGAUNNAAUCGCGCCGGGCGGACCGACGAUAGGUUUGUUGCUCUGGUCUUGAAAACGACUGCACGUUCGUAUGACCAUAAAAAGAAUAUAUAAUCGACGACCUCAGAGCAGGCGAGACUACCCGCUGAAUUUAA
rnacentral:rRNA from 1 species